AAGACAUUGAGAUGAAGAGGGGCUGUGUUGUCAGAAGCCUGUGUGUUUACCUCAAUGAGGACAGCAGCACACUCAUCAAGGAGUACUUGGAUGUCAACAGUGAGGAAGCUAAGAGAGAGAUCGCACAGACCACCAUGGGGCUCUAUGUGAUUUGCAGAGAAGGUGCUUAUGAAGAGGACAAGCCAGCGGAUGUUGGAGUGGUGGUCGAAGGCUAGGAUGUAUUUCCUUUGGUUGUGCCAUGCUUUUUGGCCUGAUCUACACACUCAACCUGAACUAUCUUCCAGAAGGUUUUGAUGAACUUGAAUGGCAACAAACUGUCCCCCAAAGGUGCAAACAUUAGAGAUUAAGAUGCGUCAGUGAGCUCACAAGACCAGUGCUGGAUAGUUGAGCUUGGCUUGCCCCCUUCUGGAAGAUUGAGGGCCUGUGCAUCACGCCGUCAGUCAGUCAGCAGUUAGGUCAAGAUGACCAUCCAAAAAAUGUAAUAACAUGUAACUCUUGAUAAAUCAAAAAACAAACUACCGUACACUGAUCUGACUUGCUACUUUAUUUGUGAAAAUAUAAAUAAAUUAGUAAGUCAGAUCAGUGUGCGGUAGUUUGUUUUUUGAUUUUUCAUAGACUUAUCCAGGUUUCUACCAGCACCUCAUUGUUGUUGCUGUGCUUGGGGAAUUUUUUGUUUUGAUGUAAAUGUUGAUGUUGGAAUUGUUCAAACUGAUAUUGGAUACUGACAUUUUAAACGCUUUGAGUAUUGUAUUGAAAAAAAAGGCUCUUUGAAUGGCAAACAAUUUUUUAAAAGAUUAUUUUAAAAUUCAUUUUAAGUUACUGAAUACAGUAGAAAUACUCAUUCUGGUGGAAAACCUUUAUUUUUUUUUAUUUCUUUAGCCUGUAUAGUACCGUCAGGUUUACUGGAAAACGUUGUGCACUUUGCCAUUAGACGAUUUUUUUGCAAUCUGUCAAUAAAAUUUUUAGUUCUUGUA